UUCCGGUUGAUCCUGCCGGAGGCCAUUGCUAUCGGGGUCCGAUUAAGCCAUGCUAGUCGUACGGGUUCAGACCCGUGGCGAACAGCUCAGUAACACGUGGCCAAACUACCCUGUAGAUCAGAAUAACCUCGGGAAACUGAGGCUAAUACUGAAUAAGGCUCCCACCCUGGAAUGGGGGGAGCUGGAAACGCUCAGGCGCUACAGGAUGUGGCUGCGGUCGAUUAGGUAGACGGUGGGGUAACGGCCCACCGUGCCGAUAAUCGGUACAGGUUGUGAGAGCAAGAGCCUGGAGACGGUAUCUGAGACAAGAUACCGGGCCCUACGGGGCGCAGCAGGCGCGAAACCUUUACACUGCACGAAAGUGCGAUAAGGGGAUCCCGAGUGCGAGGGCAUACAGUCCUCGCUUUUGUGUACCGUAAGGUGGUACACGAAUAAGAGCUGGGCAAGACCGGUGCCAGCCGCCGCGGUAAUACCGGCAGCUCGAGUGAUGGCCGCUAUUAUUGGGCCUAAAGCGUCCGUAGCCGGCCGGACAGGUCCGUUGGGAAAUCCAUCUGCCUAACAGAUGGGCGUCCAGCGGAAACCAGUCGGCUUGGGGCCGGAAGACCUGAGGGGUACGUCCGGGGUAGGAGUGAAAUCCUGUAAUCCUGGACGGACCGCCGGUGGCGAAAGCGCCUCAGGAGGACGGACCCGACGGUGAGGGACGAAAGCUAGGGUCACGAACCGGAUUAGAUACCCGGGUAGUCCUAGCUGUAAACGAUGAUCGCUAGGUGUGGCGCUGGCUACGAGCCAGCGCUGUGCCGUAGGGAAGCCGUGAAGCGAUCCGCCUGGGAAGUACGUCCGCAAGGAUGAAACUUAAAGGAAUUGGCGGGGGAGCACUACAACCGGAGGAGCCUGCGGUUUAAUUGGAUUCAACGCCGGG
rnacentral:rRNA from 1 species